CCUGCUGCUAAUUUGUCUAACUCAUCAUUUUACUUCCUUAAUAAAAAGCUUCUGAAGUCCUUAAUAAAGUCUAUCUUCAUGUAGCAAUUGAAUUAUUUAUUAUGUUCCAUAGUUGUUUCAUGCUAUCUGUGUUUUUUUAUUUUCCAGACUUGCGAGAUUGUUGAGGGACAGCAAUAUAUGAAAAGGUUGAAUGAGAGGCAAAUUAUGACUCUCUUGAAAGUUACAUGCCAAAGACCUAAGGAUCGGGAAAAUGACUUAUGCAGGUAUUGUGAUAAUAUAAAAUUCCCCUUUUGUAGAACACAAGUGUCGUAAAUGAAAAUUUUACUAGGUAAGGCAAGCUUUGGAAUCUUUGAGCUAAAAUUUAAUCACUAGAGAGUUGUAAAAACUUCUUUACCUUUUCGGUUGUCUUUCUUCCAACUAUAUUAAAUAUAACUGAAUGCCUAUAACCUGUAGGUUUGAGAAAUUCUCUGUUGCAUUUAUACCAGAUAAGAUAUGGUAUUAAAUUGAAGACUAAAUCUGCUGUACUCUGAAAUCAUUGGAAUAUUAACAUUUACCUUACGAUGUUAAGCCUCUAAUUGUGGUUGCAUUCUUUGAAAUUAAGGAAUUUUAGGACUUCACAAGUUCUUAACAAGAUUCUUUUUUCUGGAUAUCAUAUGGAAUACAGUGUUCCGGUCUUGGAUUUUGAAAUAACAUUAUUCCUUGCAAUGUUUUGUGACUAAGCAUACAAUUCAGCAAAUUGCUUAUGAUCAAGACCGUCAUGCAAAGGAGUUUGGUACCAAAAUUAGUGAAAAGUCAGCUUCUGUUGAGGCAUGGAUCCUUUCUGCUCCUUUGGGACUUGAAGAUAAAGUCAAGCAUCAAACACUUAGUAUUGGUCAGGCAUAAUACAUGGAUUGUUAUGCUAUUUGUAACAAUUUUCUAAUUUUGAUUAUAAAAAGAGAUUAUCAUAAUAGGAAAUUUAUAGAUUUUGAUUAUGGAGA